rnacentral:rRNA from 1 species
UACGAAGGGGGCUAGCGUUGCUCGGAAUCACUGGGCGUAAAGGGUGCGUAGGCGGGUCUUUAAGUCAGGGGGGAAAUCCUGGAGCUCAACUCCAGAACUGCCUUUGAUACUGAAGAUCUUGAGUUCGGGAGAGGUGAGUGGAACUGCGAGUGUAGAGGUGAAAUUCGUAGAUAUUCGCAAGAACACCAGUGGCGAAGGCGGCUCACUGGCCCGAUACUGACGCUGAGAAGCGAAAGCAUGGGGAGCGAACAGG